rnacentral:rRNA from 1 species
CCUGGUUGAUUCUGCCAGUAGUCAUAUGCUUGUCUCAAAGAUUAAGCCAUGCAUGUCUAAGUAUAAGCAACUUUGUACUGUGAAACUGCGAAUGGCUCAUUAAAUCAGUUAUAGUUUAUUUGAUGGUUUUUGCUACAUGGAUAACUGUGGUAAUUCUAGAGCUAAUACAUGCAUUCAAGCCCCGACUUCUGGAAGGGGUGUAUUUAUUAGAUAAAAAUCAACUUUGUUGGUGAAUCAUAAUAACUUCUCGGACCGCAUGGCCUCGUGCUGGCGGUGCUUCAUUCAAAUAUCUGCCCUAUCAACUGUCGAUGGUAGGAUAGAGGCCUACCAUGGUUGCAACGGGUAACGGGGAAUAAGGGUUCGAUUCCGGAGAGGGAGCCUGAGAAACGGCUACCACAUCCAAGGAAGGCAGCAGGCGCGCAAAUUACCCAAUCCCAACACGGGGAGGUAGUGACAAUAUGUAACAAUAUACGGCCUUAUACGUCGUAUAAUUGGAAUGAGUACAAUUUAAAUCCCUUAACGAGGAACAAUUGGAGGGCAAGUCUGGUGCCAGCAGCCGCGGUAAUUCCAGCUCCAAUAGCGUAUAUUAAAGUUGUUGCAGUUAAAAAGCUCGUAGUUGGACCUUGGACCUGGACAGGCGGUCCGCCUCACGGCGAGUACUGUCUUGCUGGGUCUUUCCUCUUGGUGAUCUGUUGUUUCGGCAGCAGGGAACCAGGACCUUUACUUUGAAAAAAUUAGAGUGUUCAAAGCAGGCUCGACGCCGGAAUAUAUUAGCAUGGAAUAAUAAAAUAGGACGUGCGGUUCUAUUUUGUUGGUUUUUGGAAUCGCCGUAAUGAUUA